AUGUCAUCGGAAAUCUCGCUGUCGCGUCGCUAAUUUCCACGAUGCGUUCUGCGACGUCUAAUGCUAAGUACUAACAU